rnacentral:lncRNA from 1 species
CCUCCUAUCAAGACUCUGAAGGAACCAAGAGAUAUCGCUUACAUCCAAUAGUACUAUUUGGAUAAGUAGGCCGAAACUCAUAGUUCUGCUCCAAGAUCCUCGUGUCUCUUCGACAUCCUAACUUCUUCAUAAGGUGUCUGACAAUUUUGUGCUCUUAGCCUGCUCAAUGAUGAGCUUAUGAACUAGUAUUGCACAUCCAAACAACACAAAAUUGAGAUGGUGUAUGGGUUGUUGGGCCAGUUUGCCACAUCUAUGAACCUAAAGGGCUCACUCUUUGCUGGAAGCUUCAAUUGAGCAAGCCCAGUUGGGUACACAACUCAUGUAGUUCGGCCUAAGGACAAGCCAACUUACCCGGACGGGGAGGGGUCUAACCAGAAGCAGGAUGGGAACACCUCAAACAUGAAUGACAUCAUUUGGGAC